CCCUUAGAUGUUCUGGGCCGCACGCGCGCUACACUGACGAAGUCAGCGAGCAUGUCCUACGCCGACAGGUGCGGGGAAUCUUGUCAAACUUCGUCGUGAUGGGGAUUGAUUUUUGAAAUUCUUGGUCAUAAACGAGGAAUUCCUAGUAAGCGCAAGUCAGCAGCUUGCGUUGAUUACGUCCCUGCCCUUUGUACACACCGCCCGUCGCUACUACCGAUUGAAUGGUUUAGUGAGAUCUUCGGAUUGGCGCCACUGCAGCUCAGCAAUGGGCUUGGUGGAUGCCGAAAAGUUGAUCAAACUUGAUCAUUUAGAGGAAGUAAAAGUCGUAACA
rnacentral:rRNA from 1 species